AUUUUCUGAGCUUGAGGACGAGCCCCUUUUUUGAAUCAGUUCUACUCCAAUGACUAGCAAAAAUGGCUACCAACCAACCUUGUUUAUGACACUGUCUAUCUGGAAUCCCCAGUCUUUGACAAUGACAACAAGUAUCAAAUUUUGCAGUUGGAGCCAAUAUGCCUCGACGCUACAGAAGAUCUUUAAGCAGCAGAAACAGGAAUAUUUUUCAAUAAAUAAUUUUUAUAGAUUCAAAGUAGAUUCCAUUUGUUAUUAAUGUCAUGAUCCAUUAAAAAGGUUAACAGUUUCCUUCACU